rnacentral:rRNA from 1 species
GAUGAACGCUGGCGGCGUGCCUAAUACAUGCAAGUCGAGCGAACAGACGAGGAUCUUGCUCCUUUGACGUUAGCGGCGGACGGGUAAGUAACACGUAGGUAACCUACCUAUUAGACUGGGAUAACUUCGGGAAACCGGAGCCAAUACCGGAUAAUAUUUCGAACCGCAUGGUUCGAUAGUGAAAGAUGGCUUUGCUACUACUUAUAGAUGGACCUGCGCCGUAUUAGCUAGUUGGUAAGGUAACGGCUUACCAAGGCAACGAUACGUAGCCGACGUGAGGGGGUGAUCGGCCACACUGGAACUGGGACACGGUCCCGACUCCGACGGGAGCGAGCGGUAGGGGAUCUUCCGCAAUGGGCGAAAGCGUGACGGAGCAACGCCGCGUGAGUGAUGAAGGUCUUCGGAUCGUAAAACUCUGUUAUUAGGGAAGAACAAACGUGUAAGUAACUGUGCACGUCUUGACGGUACCUAAACAGAAAGCCACGGCUAACUACGUG